UUUGUUCCAUUCAUUUCUGAACUUUGAAAGGACGGGGCUUUGAGAAAAUCAGCCUAGCUAUAUUCUUCCUAUCCUUUGCUAGACGAUAAGACGUUCGUCAUCAUCUCUACGCUGGGUGAGAGCAACUCGUCUUGGGAUCAAGCAGUUAUAUCUGCUGCAUGCGCGCUGCUUCUUUCUCCACGAAACAUCGAUCGGAAACUCCCUUUCUCCUUUUCAUAACGAUAAGGGUAAGCUUCAUUGCUCCAGCCGGGCUGUUGCCGCCGCUUACUAAGCGCUGGUUGUACCCCGGCUGGGCUGCUAGUUGCUUAAACCAGCCUGCAAAAGUUCUGUAAGCAACAAUCCAUGUUAAGUUAUGAGAUAAUCUAUAUGAAAGUACAUAAAGGUUAUGGAUUGCUUGUUUGUGGAGAAAGAAUCUGUUGCACCAGUCCAACCUUAGACGGGUCGCUCUCACCUGGAGUGGCUGUGACUAAAGGUAUAACUUGAUAUUGCCGGAAUCCGGUUUUGUAUGAGAGUAGGGCAAAAUAUAUUGUUCUCGAAACCAGUCAAUCACCACGCACCUCACUGUAAGAUUCUCAAUGCGUCAAUCUUUUAGAAAGACGAAAAAUCUCGUCAAACAGAACGGCGCAUGAACUACAUGUGCGACUCAAAGUGCGCGUGUGACAUCCAUGCGUCACUACAAGGGGAGCUCUAUUUCCUCCACGUGCGACUUUUUUGGGACCAUGGUCAUCGGUUUCUUCAGACCUAACGUUCCGCCGUACUUCCAGAGUGGCACAUGUCCCGGGCCACCACAGUCUUGGUGUUUCCAUUUUUUAUUUUCUCUACGGUUGAAAAUGCAGAUCUACAAUUUUCCAAGUUGUAAUUCGCUAUUUUUCCAUGUAUCUUUUAUGUUUUAUGUUAUUUCUUUUGUUUUAUGUUAAAAUAAAAAAAAUACAUAGUCUUUUAGAUUUUUGUCCAUAGAGUGUGUCCUCUACUCCGUCUUAGACAGAGUGUGGAGUUGUUUAAUUCUGUCUUAAGACGGAAUGUGAGAUUUGUUAAAUCUGUCUUGGAAUAGAGUGUCAUCUCUCAUACGGUUUGUUUAUAGAAAGUUACAUCAAUGGACUAGACUAUGUCAAUCACAAAGAAAUUUGUGUAUUGGAGAGUCUUAAAAAUAGUAAUUGACUUGUA